rnacentral:rRNA from 1 species
GACGAACGCGGCGGCGUGCCUAAUACAUGCAAGUCGAACGAGAGCGACCGGUGCUUGCACUGGUUAAUCUAGUGGCGAACGGGUGAGUAACACGUGGGUAACCUGCCCAUCAGAGGGGGAUAACAUUCGGAAACGGAUGCUAAAACCGCAUAGGUCCUUUAACCGCAUGGUUGAAGGAGGAAAAGAGGCGCAAGCUUCUGCUGAUGGAUGGACCCGCGGUGCAUUAGCUAGUUGGUGAGGUAACGGCUCACCAAGGCCGUGAUGCAUAGCCGACCUGAGAGGGUGAUCGGCCACAUUGGGACUGAGACACGGCCCAAACUCCUACGGGAGGCAGCAGUAGGGAAUCUUCCGCAAUGGACGCAAGUCUGACGGAGCAACGCCGCGUGAGUGAAGAAGGUUUUCGGAUCGUAAAACUCUGUUGUUAGAGAAGAACAAGUGCUAGAGUAACUGUUAGCGCC